AGAACGAACGCUGGCGGCAGGCCUAACACAUGCAAGUCGAACGCCGUAGCAAUACGGAGUGGCAGACGGGUGAGUAACACGUGGGAACGUACCCUUCGGUUCGGAAUAACUCAGGGAAACUUGUGCUAAUACCGGAUACGUCCGAAAGGAGAAAGAUUUAUCGCCGAGGGAUCGGCCCGCGUCUGAUUAGCUAGUUGGUGAGGUAACGGCUCACCAAGGCGACGAUCAGUAGCUGGUCUGAGAGGAUGAUCAGCCACAUUGGGACUGAGACACGGCCCAAACUCCUACGGGAGGCAGCAGUGGGGAAUAUUGGACAAUGGGCGCAAGCCUGAUCCAGCCAUGCCGCGUGAGUGAUGAAGGCCCUAGGGUUGUAAAGCUCUUUUACCUGGGAAGAUAAUGACGGUACCAGGAGAAUAAGCCCCGGCUAACUUCGUGCCAGCAGCCGC
rnacentral:rRNA from 1 species